rnacentral:ncRNA from 2 species
AUUUUAGUCAACUUUAUUGGUGCCUUAAGUUACAGCUGUAACAUAUACCUAUUUGGUAUUAGGGAUAAUCGGGAAGUCAGUUAAAUUCUGGCACUGCCCCCGCAACGGUGAAUGGUGAGAGACGAGCGCGCCUUAAUGGAUAGGCGUUUAAAGCUUGUAUUCGCGUGUUAGUUUCUAACACUGAACCUAAGUCCGGAGACCGGCCAACAAAGUGAUUUCGAU